rnacentral:rRNA from 1 species
UACGAAGGGGGCUAGCGUUGCUCGGAUUGACUGGGCGUAAAGGGCGCGUAGGCGGCGGACACAGUCAGACGUGAAAUUCCUGGGCUCAACCUGGGGGCUGCGUUUGAUACAUGUCUGCUUGAGUUCGGAAGAGGUCUCUGGAACUCAUGGUGUAGGGGUGAAAUCCGUUGAUAUCAUGGGGAACACCGAAUGCGAAGGCAAGAGACUGGUCCAUUCCUGACGCUGAAACACGAAAGCGUGGGUCGCGAAUGGG